rnacentral:rRNA from 1 species
GAUGAACGCUGGCGGCGUGCCUAAUACAUGCAAGUCGAGCGAACGGACGAGAAGCUUGCUUCUCUGAUGUUAGCGGCGGACGGGUGAGUAACACGUGGAUAACCUACCUAUAAGACUGGGAUAACUUCGGGAAACCGGAGCUAAUACCGGAUAAUAUUUUGAACCGCAUGGUUCAAAAGUGAAAGACGGUCUUGCUGUCACUUAUAGAUGGAUCCGCGCUGCAUUAGCUAGUUGGUAAGGUAACGGCUUACCAAGGCAACGAUGCAUAGCCGACCUGAGAGGGUGAUCGGCCACACUAGAACUGAGACACGGUCCAGACUCCUACGGGAGGCAGCAGUAGGGAAUCUUCCGCAAUGAGCGAAAGCCUGACGGAGCAACGCCGCGUGAGUGAUGAAGGUCUUCGGAUCGUAAAACUCUGUUAUUAGGGAAGAACAUAUGUGUAAGUAACUGUACACAUCUUGACGGUACCUAAUCAGAAAGCCACGGCUAACUACGUG